CGGGCUGUCAAAAAAAAUAAACAAACCGAUUUUAUUUUUCGCGAGGUGGUUUCCCGGGAAGAAUCUUCAUCUUCAAGAUGCGGAAAAGCUGGUUGCAUUUUGCAAGCUUCCCUGCUCUGCCCUGCCCCCUGCCAGGCUUCGCCUCGAAGAAAAUGCCUUCCGUUGGACAGCCGUUUGGAAAUUUCUAGAGAAAUUUUCGCCUCGCAGGCCUAAAUCAAGAGGCCGGGCUCCGCGGCCAAAUCUAUCACGGAACUCAACAUCGCCAGUGCCGACAGCGCCUUUCUUGUCCGGUCCGCCGACACGAUGAGCGCGCUGCGAUUUCGAACGGACCAGCCUGUUUAAGUGUCGGCGGAACAAUCUCCGGAGGCAGUUCGCCAAUAGUCAGCCGCGGUUCUGCCGUGGUGUCCUGGACGCUAAGAUCCGCAUCUUCAAUCUCGGCCAACGCGUCC